rnacentral:rRNA from 1 species
UCGAGAAUCUUCGGCAAUGGGCGCAAGCCUGACCGAGCGACGCCGCGUGGAGGACGAAGGCCUUCGGGUUGUAAACUCCUGUCGAGGGGGAAGAAGGGGCGGCAACGCCCUUGACUGAUCCCUGGAGGAAGCACGGGCUAAGUUCGUGCCAGCAGCCGCGGUAAGACGAACCGUGCGAACGUUAUUCGGAAUCACUGGGCUUAAAGCGCGUGUAGGCGGGAGGGAACGUCGGCCGCUGAAAUCCCCCGGCUUAACCGGGGAAGUGGCGCCGAUACGGCCCUCCUGGAGGGACGUAGGGGGAGCUGGAACUUCCGGUGGAGCGGUGAAAUGCGUUGAGAUCGGAAGGAACGCCCGCGGCGAAAGCGAGCUCCUGGACGUCUGCUGACGCUGAGACGCGAAAGCCAGGGGAGCGAACGG